GCUGGAAAAGUUUGAGUGGUCUUGAAAUUCCGAGGUGAUUGUGAGUUAGUGGGUUAGUGGGAGAAAAUUAAGUGAUGUGUUAUCAAAAUGUUGUUUUUCUUUUAUUUUCUUUUUUUGAAUUUCUCUCUCUUCUCAAGGUUUCUGACAUUGGUUUUCGCUUCUCCCUUUCCUUCCCUCUGUGCUUUCUGUUUCUAUUCGUUUUGUUUUGUGUUCCUUACUCCGAAUAAAUUGUUUUAAUCGUUGGAGUUCAUUAAUUUGUUUGUGCUUGUUCGUUGGGUAAGUAAGUUCGUUAGGG
rnacentral:lncRNA from 1 species